rnacentral:lncRNA from 1 species
CAGAGUUAAGACUGUUACUUCUUCAGGUGUCCAGGUUUCAUGUCAUAGUUGUAAAACCUCAGCAAUCCCUCAGUAUCACCUAGCCAUGUCAAAUGGAACUAUAUACAGCUUCUGCAGCUCCAGUUGUGUGGUUGCUUUCCAGAAUGUAUUUAGCAAGCCAAAAGGAACAAACUCUUCGGCGGUGCCCCUGUCUCAGGGCCAAGUGGUUGUAAGCCCGCCCUCCUCCAGGUCAGCAGUGUCAAUAGGAGGAGGUAACACCUCUGCCGUUUCCCCCAGCUCCAUCCGUGGCUCUGCUGCAGCCAGCCUCCAACCUCUUGCUGAACAAUCCCAGCAAGUUGCUUUAACCCAUACAGUUGUUAAACUCAAGUGUCAGCACUGUAACCAUCUAUUUGCCACAAAACCAGAACUUCUUUUUUACAAGGUAAAGAGAGAUCAUGAAAGGGAUUGUAUAUAAACUCAUCCAGUAGAAACACUUUUGUGUUUUCAAUUUUGAUCACUCAAUUUGCUUUGACAUGAAAAGGAGUUCUUAAAGAUAAAGCAACUGUUUAGUUGGCUCUUAAUGGACUGUUGUUUCUCUGCAGGGUAAAAUGUUUCUGUUUUGUGGCAAGAAUUGCUCUGAUGAAUACAAGAAG